rnacentral:rRNA from 1 species
AUGGAUUCUCUUCCGACUGCCUCCACCCCCCGUGAUGCGGACGAUGCUGAGGUGGGAUCCCAGGAAGGGACCCACCAGGAGGAGAGGGCCCCGGAGGUGUCGCAGGACAACCUCCAGGACUUUGCACCGGACUCAGCCCCGGAAUCCAUAUUGGCUCCGGAGUCCAGCGGGCGACCCCUUCAUAAGAAGGGCAAGACCGCGACGCCGGCUGCCUCCGUCCAACCGGAGGUGCCGGAUAAUUUGCUGGAGGCGCUCAACGGCGCCUCCAUCAAAGAGGAACAUCACACUGUUAUGAGUGCGGUGAUUCAGAAGGUUUGGCUCGCCAAGAGCGGGCUGGCCGAAGCCUGCAGCAGCCUUCUAACAGGCUUUGAGGUAAGAAUUUCAAUAUAUGUAAAAUGGUACCGCAUAGACAGUAACCCCUGA